AUGUAUCGAUAUCAUCAUGUAUAUUAAUGACUGUAGACGUUGUUUGAUAUUAGGACAACUUUAGCAUGUUCACUCGUGGAUAAUGGUUUAGCGCUAGCUUCUAGCUAACGUUAGCUGUGCAUUGUUAAGUUUGCAUUUUGGCAAUUUUGGUCUCAUGUGUAGUGUCUUAUCUGCCAUCCUCUUUAUAAUGAAAAUUAAGCUUCGGCAUUUUAAUCACCGUUUGAGUCGGUUCAGACAACUAAUGGGUUUUGGCGCCUGUUUGAACGUCAAAAAGUACUGGCUUAGCUUACGGGCUAAUGUUAGCUACCGACUAUUAAUUAACGUUACCUUGAAACCAUCCAGCAAAUAGACGGUCCGUAGGGUGAUUUAACGAUCACCGCUCAUUUUACACACAGUUUAACAAGAAAACAAAACGCUGAGUGAAUAUUAUAGCUACGUUUUUAUGAAGGUACUGACGUCAAAAAGAUUCGCAUGUGCAGGGUAAGAUUUGUGAAAUACAUACGAUAGCAAGCGUAAAUUAAUUUUGCAUGCGCAAGAAAAGAUUUGUUAAAGUGUAAAUCGCGUUUCAAGCGUAAAAAAAAAAAAAGCAGUGGUGGGCCGUCAGGGGCAGCAGGGCCUUCUCUGCUGGCCCUAUAAAAAAUAAAAUUGUGUGAAAAAUGUUUUUAUUGAUUAUUGAGGUAUCAUUUUCAUUUGUGUAAUGUCCACAAAAUUGCCUAUGAUUAGUUUAGUUGAGGUUGAACUGGAAUAUCCUACAUAAAAAAGUCUGAGGCCAGCACUAGUGCUACCCUUUUGUUGAAAGACGUCACAUCUGAUUUGUUACGAGCAUUAGUGACAGAAUCAUCAGCCAAUCAAAUUCUGACGUUCAGUGACAGCCCGCCCUCUGGGUCUAGUGACGUGCAACGGUCUGGGUCCAGUGCUACCCCCAGCGUUAGACCGCCCCUUCAGGGAUGUCCAAGGAAAGAAAGAAAAUGACAGCUGCAGUCAUCGGCGCCUACACCAGAUGUUGUUGCCUAGCUACUAAAAACACCUUUUGCAGACAAAAGAGAAUAACUGAGAAAGGAAGACCUAAACUAAAUUCGCUAACAAAGGCCAGCAAAGGUUUUAUGCGCCAUUUCAAAGACUGCAGCUAUGAGUGCUAUGAGUGGCUAACAGCUAGCACCGAGCACAAGUUAUUUUGUUGGCGUGUUUACUUUUUAAUACGAGUAAAGGGACGGAAUGACAGACCCAUGGACUUUAUUUACAAGUGACAGGUGAGUGCUUUGUUAUUUGAUGAGUAUUGUAUCAUGCACAUUGUUAUGGAGGUGUACAUGGUGCGUUGAUAAUACUGUAGUGUGGUGUGUGUGUGGAUGUCCAGCGUUUGCACAGUUUUGCUGCUUUGGGCGCGUCGUUAUUUUAGAGUGACGUGAAUGUGCAUAGUGACCCCUACUGAUGAAAUUGUUGAUCAGCCGUUAUUGUUGUUGAGAGCCUGUGUGCGGCAUAAUAUGUGCAUUAUAUGCAUAUGGCUGCAUUAGCUGUAACAGAGAUUAGCUGUUAGCUGUUCUCACAGUGGCAAAAAAACUCCUGGUCAACUGCUGGAAUCCUCCUCACACUAUGGACAGACGAACAUAGACUGUGUCUUUGCUGGUGGAACUCUCAACCUCAUGUAUACAUGGAUCCAAUCCUUAGACCUAAAUGUAUGUCAUGCUGUUUUUGAUACUGUGUCAACUUUUUUAUCUAAUUUUGUAAACCUGUAAUGUCUUGUUUUAUUAACCUGUUCCCUUUUUUUUUUAUUUUUUUUAUUUUUUUUUUAUUAUUAUUAUUAUUUUCUUCUUUUUUUUGAUAACUAGAUAAUGUGUUUGUAUUUUAUUUCUAUGUAACUGAAGUCUACCAGGGGUGGGUUUUAGGUUUGCAUAUUUGCUACUUGUUUUGUAUUCUUGUAUACAUUUGAAAAGAAACCUCAACAGUUGUUAACAAAAAAAAAAAAGAAAAAAAAAAGGCAGACAUGCCCCUUUGAACUCAGUCCUCAACGUUUGGUCGUGUGACUCUGCAGCUGGAAAUCUGGAGAUUCUCAAAGUCUCUCCACAUGUUUAUUUUGUUUGUCUUUCCUUAUUUAUUCCUAGGCUAGGGGAGGAUGUAACAUUUGUUUUGUUAUCGUUUCAGAUCAACAAUUUUUUUUUAUACAUUGCCUGCAAUAAGAAUGACCACUUGACUUUUAAAAUAUAAUAUUCCACUAUUUUCUGUCUCUUUUUAGAGAUGUCAGAGAUCAGCUCCAGUCCAGAUGAUCCAGUGAUCAGGAUUCUUCUGAUGGGCAGAAAUGGUUCUGGGAAAAGCUUGUCAGGAAACACCAUACUGGGAGAAGAAAAGUUUAAAGUUCACAUACAACAGAAAAAACAAAUAGAUGAAGAUGAGUCCAGUGUAGUUUGUGAUGCAGUCACACAGAUCGGAGAGAAGCAGGUGCAUGUGAUGGACUGUCCAGAUCUACUGAAUCCAGAUAUGAAUAAAGACCAGCUGGAGAUGAUGAAAGAGCAGCUGAUCUCUAGAUGUUCAGCAGGUCUCAGUGCAGUUCUGCUGGUUGUGCCUAUAGUGAGAAAUGUGGAAAAUGAGGAAGAGAUGUUGGAAUUUAUUAGACGUUUAUUUGUUCCUGAAGUUCAGAAAUACAUCAUGAUUCUGUUCACCGAUGGAGAUGAACUGGAGGAUCUGGAUCAGACCAUUGAGGAACAUCUACAGAAGAAAGAUUAUCUCCAGCGACUGGUGACUGAAUGUGGAGGAAAGUUUCACUGUUUCAAUAACAGGAGAGAAUCAGACCAUCAGAAACACGAACUACUACAGAAAGAUUGAAGGAAUGAUGAUGGAGAACAGAGGGAAAUUUAUUAUGGAACGAAUGAGGAGUGACAGCAUGCAUGUUCCUAGUGUCUUUUAGCUUUUCACUUGACUAGUGUGUGGAGUGUCCAGAAGAUCCUCUCUAAUGGGCAAAUUUGUUCGAAUUCUUCCAACCAUGAACAUCUGGGUUAACUGGCUGUUAAUCAACUGGCUGAACAAAUAUCUGAAACGGAG